UCUAAUUUUUACAUGAGAACAUAGAUUCAUACAAAUAAAUAAAAAGGUUCACUUGAUAAGAGAGUAGCUACUUCCAAUUUAAGCACAACUCACAUCAACUAUUUACAGAGUUCUCUAUAAUCUAUUGAUUAGCUAAUGAGAACUGAAUGUUUCAUGCUUUGGAAAUUCUUUAGCAGCAUUUACUUAUGUUGCACAAAUAGUUUCUUCUUCUUUCUGGAUAUGACUCCAAUGGUAGACUUAUCAAAACCUACAAAAAUAACAUGUGAAAUACCAACUUUCACCAUUGAACCAACAUUAUACUCCUAUUUAAGGUCACCCUAUAUUAUGUAUUUUAAUAAAUAAUAAGCAGUGGUUUCAACAAGGCUGCUUCCUAGCCAAUAAAUUUCAACUUAAGGUCAUAAUGAACUUUUCAUCUCUUUAUUAUACGUGUCUUCAAUGCUGUAACCCAACAACCACGUAGCAUAUUGCUUUUCAGUGUUAUCUUUUAUCCCUCUUUUACAUCUUGUUCGAUGUCAUCGUUCUUUUUCUCUCUUUAGGCGUUGCUGUCGAUGCUACUUUUCCUCUUUGAAGGUCCCGACCAUUAGAAAGAUUAUCAUUUUGUGCAAUGUAUAAUGGUUUUACAAAUUACAGGUUUAGAUUGUAAUGGAGAAAAUGUUGCAAUUGCAAAAAAAUCAAAGUAAAGGGCGGCGAAAUUGACUGUUGUUGGUGAAGUCUAAUCCACUAUGAACAACACUGAAAUGGGCUGUUUAAGUUCUGAUGGUAAUGAUGAGAUUCACAAUGUUUCUGUUCGGAAGCGGUUUAAGUUUUCCCGAAAAGAGUUGCAGUUUUUUUAAUGCUUCUGUGCUCUCGGCUUCUUCGCAAGGAGUAUUCUGACUGUUCUGUCUCGCCCGUGCCUUUGUCUUCAUUUAGGUAUUUUUUGCCAAAUGCUCCUGAGAAGGAGGCUACAAAGCAGAGACAAAAUGCGGGAGAAAAACCACACCACCAUUUCCAACAUGUAAAUAGUGUGGCAUGUACAUAUAUUUUUCUGAUAUGUGAUGUAAAUUAUGGAGUCAUGGAUGUAAACAAUAUAACACUUGCCAACGGUAUGAUAUCUGCGUGUAAAUAAUAUUUGUCAGUUAGCUACCAAAAAGCGUCCCACCGUUGGGCUCGUGUUAGCACGGGCUAUCACCCCCUAGUUACUACUAUUAAGAAGAGGGAGUUGAGUCACUUUCUCGUUGUCUGUUUCCUUCCAAUUUAAUUAAAAUUGUGGGCCUCACUCAUAUAUAUUAACCAACAACUAAUAUAAAAAAAAAUUGUGGGCCUCAUAAUUCUAUGGUAUAUAUAUCCGUUCCAAAUUAAAAAACAAAUUGUGGGCUACAUAUAUAUUAAAUAACAACUAAUAUUAAAAAAAUAGUGUAAAUUAAUAAUGUCAAAAAAAAGUGCACAUUAAUAAUGUAAAAAAAAAAAAGUGCAUCUCAUAUUAAAAAAUCAAACAAUAUUCAUGUAAUUUCCAAAGUAUCUCAUUAAGUCAAUAAUGAUGGAUUCAUUGCCACGUGCGUAUUCGUAGCAAACACUAAUAUAAUAAAGUUUUAAAUACGGAGCACAAACUACAAUGUUAUAUUAAUCGUGUUUUGAACAUAGUAUCUCAUAUUGAUCAAGCGAUAUAUAUAUAAAAAAAAGGUGAGCCCAGCCAGCUCUUCUUAAUAGUAGAAAUAUAAUAAAGUUUUAGAUACGGAGCACAAACUACAAUGUUAUAUUAAUCGUGUUUUGAAUAUAGUAUAUGUAUAUAUAUUAUAUUCAUAAAAAUAGUACAAACUAAUAAUGUCCAAAAAAAAAAGUGCACCCCAUAUAGGGUGGACCUCAUACUAAACAACAUCAAGCAAUAUAUAUAUAUAAAAAAAAAAUUAAAAAAAAAGUGAAACCCACCAUCUCCAAACUCACUGUAAACAAAAGUGGACCCCAUAUUAACAAAAUCAAGCAAUAUAUAUAAAAAAAAAAGUGAACCCCAUAUGAAAAAAAAAUAAUGUAAAAAAAAAAGUGCAGACUUUGUAUUCGUAGUAAACACUAAUAUACUAAAGUUUUAGAUACGGAGUACAAACUACAAUGUUAUAUUAAUCGUGUUUUGAACAUAGUAUAUAUAUAUAUAUAUAUGCAUAAAAAUAGUGCAAAUUAAUAAUGUCAAAAAAAAAAGUGUGCUCCAUAUUAAAAAAUCAAACAAUAUUCAUGUAAUUUUCAAAGUAUCUUAUUAAGUCAAUAAUG